rnacentral:ncRNA from 1 species
CGGGGAUGCAGGCUCCCCGUCAGACGCCCUGCGUCCAAGCCCUGC